rnacentral:rRNA from 1 species
UCAAUAGCCUAACGGCUGAACCAGCAACUUGGAGGAAUGAAAAGCAAUAGCUGAUUUGCAUUUAAUUUAAUGUAGUUACUACUUGGUAGUUUAAAGUUCUAGGUAGAAUUAUGAUGAUGACAUUAUCUAUCUAUUAGUCUUGACCAAAUUACGUGCCAGCAGUCGCGGUAAUACGUAGAAGACAAGUGUUAUUCAUCUUUAUUAGGUUUAAAGGGUACCAAGACGGUUAAUAAAGCCCAAAAUAAAUGAAUACGGGGGACAUAUUAACUAGAGUUAUAUGAAAGGAAGCUCUAAGGUACUGUUGAGUGUAGAGAUGAAAUUUUAUGAUACCAGAUGAUUGGCACAGAUUAAUGCGAAGGCAUCUUCUUAUGUAAUAACUGACGUUGUAGGACGAAGGCUUAGAAAGUGAACAGGAUUAGGUACCCCAGUAACCUAGGCAGAAAAUGAUGAAUGUCAUAGGCUGGUUAUAACGUAUAAAAAAAUAUAUAUUAGGAUAAAAGUGUAAAAUUUACAGGUUAAAGGCUGGUUUUACAAAAAAAAAAGUAAAACGGAGAAGUUGAUGAUCAGUCUAUAAAUGAAAGUGUAAGCAUUCCACCUCAAGAGUAAUUUGGCAACAUUGGAACUGAAAUCAUUAGACCGUUUCUGAAACCAGUAGUGAAGUAUGUUGUUUAAUUAGAUGAUACACAAAAACCUUACCACAAUUUGAAUAUAUAUAAAAUAUAUUUACAAGCGCUGCACGGCUGUCUACAGUUAAUGUCGUGAGACUUUGGUUAACUACUAUAAAUUAACGAAAACCCUAAUUUUAUUUAUAAAUAUAAUUAACGUUGUUAGUUUAAUGUUUUAAGAGGGAAUAUGACAAGUCAUCAUGGCCAAAAUUUUUGUGGGCUA